AGCCAUACCAUAUUAAAAUGUUGGUUCCCAUAUGAUCACCAAAGUUAAGCAAUGUCAAGCCUGGUCAGUACCUAGAUGGGAGACUACUUGGAAAUACCAAGUGCUGUAAG